AGUUUCAGCUCAUGAUCACAAAACAUUCUGUUAAAUUUGCCAAGGAAAGAAAGAUCUUUGGAGCACUGAAACAGGUAUAAAAAGAAAAGGAAGGAGUGACAAGGGGCCCAAAGCACCAUGAAAUACCGAUUUGUCAGGUUCCAGACAUUGCUGAAACAAAAGGCUUCAGUAUCCCAAUGGACUCUGUCGAGUGAAGAUACUAUUAAAAUUCUGUUUCCAUGAAUGCAGCUUGAGUUAGAAAUGCCAGAUGUCUUCUGCCUGGC